rnacentral:lncRNA from 1 species
GUUAAUUUUUUUUUUCUCAAGAAUGUGUCAUGUAUAUGACGUGUCUUGUUACAAUGUGUUUUCUUAUAUGACAGGAGCAUUACUAUGAUCCUCGCAGUGGUCAAGGUUACCUGGCCUAUAGAUUGAAAACAGUGAGCGUAACAAUACAGGCAAAUCCGACACGAAUGCCAGGCCUGUUUAUGAAGGUAGCCUGAAGGUUCUGCGAGAGACCUCAGCAUCUGAACAGCUAUCAGGUGAUGAAUGCAUGGAGGCAAUGUCCAUCAUGAAACAUUCGGUGGACUAGCCAGUUGUCAAAGAAAAAAUGAAGGCAAUGUUCAAGCAUAGACAGAAGAUGCUACGCGAUCCUGACCAGUCCUCGCUUGUCCUGGAUCACUUCCCCCGAUUCCUGGAUACACCAGGCCUGAUAAGAAGUACAUGAACUUAACAACAAUUGAUAGAUAUAUAGUGUAGAUAUAGUGUUGUGUUUUUAAUAUGCUUUUCUUUGUAUUAGAUUGACCAAGACUUCACCAAGCUCUUUGGAGAGGAUGUCUCUGGCAAGUUCAUUGCAAAAUGGGCAACUUUCUACAAGGCUAGGGUCAUCACUGUCUGCAAAAAAAAAAAAAAAAAAGUGCCCUGGCACUCAUCUGGAUGACCUUCUGUUUGCGCAUGAAGAAGCAAGUGAAUGUGGAUGGAACAGUGACUUGGCUGCUAUCCUCCUGCUCGUUCAUCUCUUGCCUCCAACCGCAAAAGGAAAAAGACACGUAAAAAUCAGUACUUCUGAAGCGUCUGACCAUGUGCUCAAAUUCAUGAAGGUUUGGACAAGCAUGGCAACCUUCCUUCACAAUGUUGAAUCCUCACAACCCUUCCUCCUCUGCAUUGGAGAAAAGAAGACGUGUAUUCAGAAAUUUUACAUCAUCCUGGACCACAAGCCCAUUCCCUGCAUGUCGCCGACUGCGGUAGGGGCCUUUGACGAACUGUUUAAGGUGCACUUUGUGUUUUCUCUGUCCUAUGAUGAGGCCUUAUUCAACUUCUAAACUUUCAUCCAAACAACCAUAUACGGCAUCGAUGUGGCCACCGCAAAGGAGAGUCGAAGGGUCAAGGAAAUCAGAGUGAGAAUCAAUAACGUUUAAACAUGUUCAACUGUUACAUUUGCAAGGUUGGCCAAAUAAAUUGUUCUGUUCUUUUUCAGCAUUUCAAAUUCAGCCAUGCUUUGUACCCAGGGAGGUCUUUACGUUUGAAAUGUGGGGAACAUGGCCGUUCAUCUCUUUUUUACACAUAUUGUGGGUUCAAGAAACAUUUAAAGAAAAUUCAUGGACACUGUUUAGCUUCAGAUCCUGUUGAUUGUCCAAAUAAUGAUGACAUGGUGGACAAUGUUUGUGUUAAUCAAUUGCCAAGUGAUUCAACUGUCAGUAACCAAUCCCCUCAAAAAAAAAGGCAGUUGGUGGAUAUGUGUAGCUCAAUUAUCGCUCAAGUGCAACACCAGUGUAAUGUUAAUACAACACUUGCAAGUGUUGUGCCCUGUUAAAUUCAAACAAGAAAUAGUGAUAAGUUAACUAAAAUUGAGUGUUAAACAUUUAACACUCUCCGAAAUGUUACUUUUACACCAGGUAGUGUGGAUGCAUAUAGACUCUUUGCCGGUGUUAAAUUUGACUUCACAGGUGUUAAUUUAACACCAGUGUUUUUGCUGUGCACCUUGGAAAAUGGACAGCCUCGAUGAUGCACAGUAGGUGUGGGAAAAAUAAUCGAUUCUUCGAUGCAUCGCGAUUCUCGCUUGAACGAUUCUGUCUCGAUGCAGAUAAAUUAAUAAUCUGAAUAAAAAAUAUAUAUAUGUAUAUAUAUAUUUUUUUUGCCUGCUGCAACAUUCUGUUCGCCAGAGAGGGAUAAUUUUUUGUAAUUUUAAAAUUAUUAAAUUUAUCUUCAGUGUAUUGGCCAAUCUGAUUUGUCUUGACACGAUUGCGAUUCAGCCAUAGAAUGCGCGCAAACUCACAGCCAGACACAAGAACUCCUUCUAAUUCAAGAGCAGCUUUUCCUUUAAUAACAAAGAAAAGAAAGAUUAGAAAGAAAAUAAAACUGAAACCUAUUUUUUGCAUGCUUCCAUAUUGUGUUAUAAUGCAAGCUCCAUUGAUUAUUGCAUUGUUCAUAGAAAGUCAUAUUUGUGACAAAAGCUUUCUCUCUUAUGAAAUAUAAGAUAAGUUAAUUCAUCUGUUGAUGUCUUUAAUGAUCAUUACAAAAGUAGGAAGUGAUUAGCAAACUCUGAGUAGCAAACCCAGAUGUAUAUAUAUAUUUUAGAAAAUUACGCAUGGAAAUGUACAUAAAAAAAAUUGUUGCAUCGAGAUGCAUCGAUAGUCGCUUCAGAAUCGAAUCGUUGACCUCAUAAUCCGAAUCGAAUCGUUAGGUGCCAAGAGAUUCCAACCCCUAAUGCCCAGCCCCUGUAUCUGUUCCAGCUCCUAAUCUACUCUGUCCUUCAUGAUAUAGGGCACCGCCCUCGGCUUAAAGAAACGUGGUGUGGCAUUGGGGUCGACUCUGAGCUUCACUGUCACUCGCUUCAGUGUGCCCUGCUCGUCCCUGAAAACGUUCCUGUACCGCUGCAGAAUGUCCUCCGACGUGUCUGCAUACUUAAUUUCAUGCCAGUUGAUCCCGAUUUUUUGUAGCCAGUCACGGCCUAAAAGACUGCAUCAUCAUCAUUAUAUGUCUACAUCAUUUCC